AUCGCUUCUCGGCCUCUUGGCUAAGAUCAAAGUUUAGUUUCUGUUCUUAUCGAAUUAUUAUUUGCGAAGCCUGAAGGUUUAGUUUUGAUACUCAUUACUGCUGCUCAUUGGAAAUGGAUAAAGAGGUAAACUCCCAUUUAAGCUACCCAAUUAAAAAAGUCGCAACUGAUUUGUAUACCUUAUGUACUGACUACCUUUUA
rnacentral:snRNA from 1 species